UGAGUAACACGUGAAUAAUCUACCUCCGAGUGGGGAAUAACUGAGAGAAAUCUUAGCUAAUACCGCAUAACACUUACGAGUCAAAGCAGCAAUGCGCUUGGAGAGGAGUUCGCGGCAGAUUAGUUAGUUGGCGGGGUAAUGGCCCACCAAGACGAUGAUCUGUAUCCGGCCUGAGAGGGCGCACGGACACACUGGAACUGAAACACGGUCCAG
rnacentral:rRNA from 1 species